GACAAACGCUGGCGGCGUGCUUAACACAUGCAAGUCGAACGGAAAGGCCCUGCUUUUGUGGGGUGCUCGAGUCGCGAACGGGUGAGUAACACGUGAGUAACCUGCCCUUGACUUUGGGAUAACUUCAGGAAACUGGGGCUAAUACCGGAUAGGAGCUCCUGCUGCAUGGUGGGGGUUGGAAAGUUUCGGCGGUUGGGGAUGGACUCGCGGCUUAUCAGCUUGUUGGUGGGGUAGUGGCUUACCAAGGCUUUGACGGGUAGCCGGCCUGAGAGGGUGACCGGCCACAUUGGGACUGAGAUACGGCCCAGACUCCUACGGGAGGCAGCAGUGGGGAAUAUUGCACAAUGGGCGGAAGCCUGAUGCAGCAACGCCGCGUGCGGGAUGACGGCCUUCGGGUUGUAAACCGCUUUCGCCUGUGACGAAGCGUGAGUGACGGUAAUGGGUAAAGAAGCACCGGCUAACUACGUG
rnacentral:rRNA from 1 species